GCCGAGCUAGCUCAAUUGGUCAGAGCGUCAGACUUUUAUGAAUCGGAAUUGCGAUCACAGAAAUCUGAAAGUUGCGGGUUCGAGUCCCGCGUUUGGCU
rfam:Aspergillus ruber CBS 135680 unplaced genomic scaffold scaffold00001, whole genome shotgun sequence.